GUGGGGAAUCUUGCGCAAUGGGCGAAAGCCUGACGCAGCCAUGCCGCGUGAAUGAUGAAGGUCUUAGGAUUGUAAAAUUCUUUCACCGGGGACGAUAAUGACGGUACCCGGAGAAGAAGCUCCGGCUAACUUCGUGCCAGCAGCCGCGGUAAUACGAAGGGGGCUAGCGUUGCUCGGAAUUACUGGGCGUAAAGGGCGCGUAGGCGGACAGCUUAGUCAGAGGUGAAAGCCCAUGGCUCAACCUUGGAAUUGCCUUUGAUACUGGCUGUCUUGAGUUUGGGAGAGGUGAGUGGAACUCCGAGUGUAGAGGUGAAAUUCGUAGAUAUUCGGAAGAACACCAGUGGCGAAGGCGACUCACUGGCCCAAUACUGACGCUGAGGCGCGAAAGCGUGGGGAGCAAACAGGAUUAGAUACCCCUGUAGUCC
rnacentral:rRNA from 1 species